AAUAUAUCGGAACGUGCCCAGUCGUGGGGGAUAACGUAGAGAAAUUUACGCUAAUACCGCAUACGAUCUAAGGAUGAAAGCGGGGGACCGUAAGGCCUCGCGCGAUUGGAGCGGCUGAUAUCAGAUUAGGUUGUUGGUGAGGUAAAAGCUCACCAAGCCGACGAUCUGUAGCUGGUUUGAGAGAACGACCAGCCACACUGGGACUGAGACACGGCCCAGACUCCUACGGGAGGCAGCAGUGGGGAAUUUUGGACAAUGGGCGAAAGCCUGAUCCAGCAAUGCCGCGUGCAGGAAGAAGGCCUUCGGGUUGUAAACUGCUUUUGUACGGAACGAAACGGCUCUUUCUAAUAAAGAGGGCUAAUGACGGUACCGUAAGAAUAAGCACCGGCUAACUACGUGCCAGCAGCCGCGGUAAUACGUAGGGUGCGAGCGUUAAUCGGAAUUACUGGGCGUAAAGCGUGCGCAGGCGGUUAUGUAAGACAGUUGUGAAAUCCCCGGGCUCAACCUGGGAAUUGCAUCUGUGACUGCAUGGCUAGAGUACGGUAGAGGGGGGAUGGAAUUCCGCGUGUAGCAGUGAAAUGCGUAGAUAUGCGGAGG
rnacentral:rRNA from 1 species